UGCUUCAGAAAUGUCCUGUGAAACUCGCCUA
rnacentral:piRNA from 1 species